ACCUUUCAUGAGAGUCCAAAGCAGAAAUGUUAGACCAUCAGUCAUAGAGCCAUGUGGGGAAACGAAAAGACGUAGAAAAAGCCAGACAGAAAUUAAUAGAAUCUAGCCUGCCUUCCUUCUCGAAAGUUCACGUUUAUUUGGUUUCACUGAUAGUCCUCAACAGGGCACAACACAGUGGCGAACACAGCACUCCACCCUGAGAAAUGUCCCCUCUCUUAGGAAGGACAACCCAGUCUGAUCUUACCCCCCCUCUCAACACACACACACACACACACACACACACACACACACACACACACACACACACACACAACUAAUAAGGGCAGUCUAGAAAUGCUUCUUGGAAGAAGUGACUUCUGAGCUGUUCCUGGAAAAGCUAAACCUUGGGGCACAGGGUGGGAGCAGGACAGACAUUUCCAGCAAGAUUUAUCAGAGAGGGAAAUUUCCCCUGUCUUAAAGGUAGAGGCUAUCCUGCCCCAGGAGCCAGCAAGGACAAUCUGGAAAGGAGGUGGGAUUGGGGUGAUCUGGGUCUAAUUAAGAAGCCAGGGCAUGUACUGAGGUAGCCAGCAUCACCUGCCUGAGGGCACUGGAGAUCAUGGUAAAGAUUAUGUCCUCUAUCCUCAGAAAGCUUAGUGGCUUGAGUCUAGUGGGUUUCUGACAAGUUCAGACUUGCCCAGCAGGCUAUAGAACAAUUUGCCAGGGUUAGCUGCAAGGAGUCUCUUGGGACCAGAAUCUGUAGAAGGGAGGUAGGCCAUCUGAGGGGACAGCUUGGGCUUUAGAGGGGAUGGAGAGGACCUCUGGGGAGGGGGGGUUUCUUCUGGCUCAGGCCCAUUUGGCUCCUGGCCACCCAGUCUUGUGGAUAGCCAGAGAGCCAAGUUGGAGAGCCAGUGAUGACGGCGGAAAAAGUUGUUUCACUUAAGCAGGGGUUGAAAACUCGUGGCUUGUGGGCUGAAUAGCAUUUUGAAAUUUGGGAAGCCUUAUGUAAAAAUCAGACUUUCUGGUUUUGUUUAAAAAUGUCCUAGACCUGGCAGUCAUGGGUACCAGUUUCCAUAGGACAGCCACUAGCUGAGACUAGGUCAUCCCCUUCAGACACGACUUUGUUAUUCUCUGCCACCUGGUCAGGGGUUUAUGGUUGUCACCUUUGCCCACAUGUCUCCUAUGUUAGAUAGCUAGCCACCUUGAAGGACAUCAGGGUAGACCCCUUCCUCCUACACCACAAUUGUAGAGACAAGGACUGGAACUGUGGGAUGCUACUGACAAGAGAGAUGUGAUCCGAAUCAUAUCCCAGGAGGAGAAAGGAAGUUCCAGAACAGUUCUAGAGAUUGUUCAAACGCAGGUCACCAGGCUUGGAAACAAGUACCUUGUCCCAUGGAACCAUCAGCAUGGCCCUAAUUGGGGUUUUUAUCGAAGCAGUACAUUUUUAUAGACGGAGUACAUUCAGGACUAUGGACAAUUUACGAGAGCUACCCAUACAAAGAAACAUCCCUCCAGAUCAACUUUCAUUACUUUCUUAUAUGUUCCUCAGGGAAGGGCAAGGCCUCCUGUGUCUCCAACAUGCAGCCAUGUGAGUCACUCACGUGUGACCCAUGAGCCUUCUCUUCCCCUACGAGGGAAUGAAUGCUAUGCACUCCGGUCCUGUGAGGGUUCUGUGUGGGUACUCACAAUUGUUCUGAUUUCAUGACAUCAGCAUGUUAUGUCCAGAGGACAGCAUUCCACAAGAGUUUGUGGGCCACCCAUCAGGAGCUGAAAGAGAAAUUUUGGACUCAAUGGAAACUCUCAGCUACUAUUCCAGCACCAUGCCUGCCUACCUGAUGCCACGAUCCUCGCCAUGAUAGUUAUGGACUCAUCCUCUGAAACUGACCUGGUCUUUAGUCUGGGUCCUACGAAGAGGAGGAUGUGACCUGCUUCCAGCUCCACAGUGGCCGCCUGGCACAGACUUGGAUGAAAAGUCAAUCCACACCCCUUGGCAAAGCGGAGAUCAGAGCUGGGCUUUAAGAAUCCACUGAAACCAGCCAGUAAUUCAGAAACGUCCUCUGGUCUCUGUCUGGGAUGCACCCGCCUUUCAGCUGCAAGUGAGCUUGGUAUGGUAUCGGGCAGUAAAAGACCAGGGCCUGCCUGAAGUGGAAAUGACACAAAGAUGAUAAUGGGGUCAUGAACCAAGGAGAAAGGGGAACCCCCUUCCACUUCCUCUUCCCUGCCCCCACUAGGCUGUCCAGCCUCCCAGCCCUGUACAAAAGCCAGGUUCCAUUUGAAAGUUUACUGUGUAAGCCAGUAAGUCCCCUUGACUGGCUUUGGUUUGUCUUUGCCAGAAGCCAAUUUAUAUGAGCUAGGCUGGCCCUCUGAGAAACUUUGGGAAGCCAUGACCCUUGAGUGCUUCUUGCCCUCCCCUGAGAGGCACACUCCUAGCCAUCCACUCUCAUUCCUUCUCCAGGGCCCAGAACUCACAACCCUCAAGGGGCCUUGGCAAAGGCUUCCCCGGAGCCAGAUGGAUGGGAACAGUUCUAGGCUCCCACACACUAGUGGUGCAGGAUGGCCUGUAGGGGCAGAGCCUGCACCACUGAGUCCCUCCCUUGCAGUCACAGUCACCCUCCAGUUAGGGUCUAACCCCAUAGCAAGCCCAGCUCUAACACUGAGGCUUUCAAUGUCACGCUCAGUGUUCCAUAGACCUGCAAAGCCAUUUUUUUGGGGGGGGCGGGGGGGGGGAAUCAUUUCAGUUCAAAUGAAACUGUCCCUGACUGACUGUCUCUGAAAGGAUUCAUGCCGGUGUUGACCCCUUUGUGGUAGUGACAUUCAUUUGAAAGUAAUCUUUUCCUUAAAAGUCAUUUGCUUGUGUCUUUGCUCGCACGUGCAUGCACAAGAAUGCACACAUGCAGGCACACUGGGCGUGCAUGUAGUGUAUGCAUGUGUGUCCAUAUGUGCACACGCAAAGACCAGAGGAGAAUGUCUGGCAUCCUGCUCCAUUGCUCUGCCCUGUUUCCCUAAGUCUGCAUCUCUCAUAGAACCUAGAAGUUAGGUUGGUAACUAGAAAGUAUCAGCUCUUUGCUCCUGUCUCCUCCCUCUAACAGCACUGGGGUUCCAUGUACAUUUGAGACAGCCUGGCUUUUUAACAAAAUCAGAGUGCUGGGAUCCAUGCUCGUGUAGUCCUCCAGCCCUCUCACUGGCUGACUCACCUCUCCAGCCUUCAGAACGGUCUUGUUAUUUCCUUUCUUACUUUGCAUUGAGUCCAGCACUAGAAUGUCAGUGACGUCACAGGUUUCACACGCCGUAGCUGCUCAAUAAAUACUUGCUGCCUCAACAGCAACUUGAAUACGUGAACCAUUCUCCUAACGUGAGCACAUGGAAAGGCAGGCCCAAGUACCAGAGACCGAAGGCUUCCUUUACAGCACUUGGGGAGGCAGAGGACAGGCAAGACGCUGUUCUGUCUGUACUGGACCAGCUAGGUAGACUGGCUAGGUGGAGGUCCUAGCUGGUGGGGAAGGACACAAGAGUAGUUCGUGUCCUUAUCACCUCCACCUUCCUGCCUUCCCUCUUGAACUUUUGAGUUCUGAGCCAUUGCUUGCCCCCACGCUCUUGGCUCCUCCUCUUCUUCCUACUUCCCCAUCUCCCACUGAGCACCAGACCCACAGCUUCUGCCUUCAGUGGCCGUCUGUCUGAGAGGCUCUGGAGGAAACCCAUCACCAGAGAGCUGUGGCCUGGACCUGCCCUAUCCCUCCUAUCUUUCUGAUAACAGCAUACCUACUUACACAUGGAAGCCACACUUCCUUUCAAGUGUGGGCUUCAUGCCAGAGAGGCCUCUGGGCCUUUAGGUCACGGUGCUAAAUGGGCACAAGAACAGGCACAUUAAGAAUUUAGUUUUUAACUCAUUCAUUAACUUUGAUUAAUUUCCUGGGGCAGUGGGGACUGAACCUAGAAUCUUGUACAUGCUAGGGGGAGCGUUCACUGAGCCUGUUUAUAUUUCGUUCAGUCUCUUUUGAUUCUCUGUAGCCCACGCUGGCUGGCUUCAGUUCCU